GCUUACGGCCAUACCACCCUGAGCACGCCCGAUCUCGUCUGAUCUCGGAAGCUAAGCAGGGUCGGGCCGGGUUAGUACUUGGAUGGGAGACCGCCUGGGAAUACCAGGUGCUGUAAGCUU
rnacentral:rRNA from 1 species